rnacentral:tRNA from 3 species
GGGGCCAUAGCUCAGCUGGGAGAGCGCUUCGCUGGCAGCGAAGAGGUCAGGAGUUCGAUCCUCCUUGGCUCCACCA